AGCUCCAAUAGCGUAUAUUAAUGUUGUUGCAGUUAAAAAGCUCGUAGUUGGAUUUCGAAUGGGAGCGGCUGGUCGGCUCCGCAAGGGGUCGCAACCGUGUUGUCUCCGGUUCUAUUUCGGGUGAUCUUGGUCAUGGCAUUGAUUUGUCGUGGCUGAGUCCCGUCGUUUACUGUGAACAAAUUAGAGUGUUCCAAGCAAGGCUUGACUUGAAUACAUUAGCAUGGAAUAAUAAGAUAGGACUUUGGUGGUUCUGCCCUCGUGGUGGAUAUUUUGUUGGUUUGCACGCCAAAGUAAUGAUUAAUAGGAGCAGUUGGGGGUAUUCGUAUUCAAUUGUCAGAGGUGAAAUUCUUGGAUUUCUAGAAGACGAACUACUGCGAAAGCAUUUACCAAGGAUGUUUUC
rnacentral:rRNA from 1 species